rnacentral:rRNA from 1 species
CCUACGGGCGGCUGCAGUGGGGAAUAUUGGACAAUGGGGGGAACCCUGAUCCAGCCAUGCCGCGUGUGUGAAGAAGGCCCUCGGGUUGUAAAGCACUUUCAGUGAGGAAGAACGCCUGGUGGUUAAUACCCAUCAGGAAAGACAUCACUCACAGAAGAAGCACCGGCUAACUCCGUGCCAGCAGCCGCGGUAAUACGGAGGGUGCGAGCGUUAAUCGGAAUUACUGGGCGUAAAGCGCGCGUAGGUGGCUUGAUAAGCCGGUUGUGAAAGCCCCGGGCUCAACCUGGGAACGGCAUCCGGAGCGGUCCAGCUAGAGUGCAGGGGAGGAAGGUAGAAGUCCCGGUGUAGCGGUGAAAUGCGUAGAGAUCGGGAGGGAUACCAGUGGCGAAGGCGGCCUUCUGGACUGACACUGACACUGGGGUGCGAAAGCGUGGGUAGCAAGCAGGAUUAGAGACCCGAGUAGUC